GACGAACGCUGGCGGCGUGCUUAACACAUGCAGGUCGAACGGAAAGGCCCUGCUUUUGUGGGGUGCUCGAGUGGCGAACGGGUGAGUAACACGUGAGUAACCUGCCCUUGACUUUGGGAUAACUUCAGGAAACUGGGGCUAAUACCGGAUAGGAGCUCCUGCUGCAUGGUGGGGGUUGGAAAGUUUCGGCGGUUGGGGAUGGACUCGCGGCUUAUCAGCUUGUUGGUGGGGUAGUGGCUUACCAAGGCUUUGACGGGUAGCCGGCCUGAGAGGGUGACCGGCCACAUUGGGACUGAGAUACGGCCCAGACUCCUACGGGAGGCAGCAGUGGGGAAUAUUGCACAAUGGGCGGAAGCCUGAUGCAGCAACGCCGCGUGCGGGAUGACGGCCUUCGGGUUGUAAACCGCUUUCGCCUGUGACGAAGCGUGAGUGACGGUAAUGGGAAAAGAAGCACCGGCUAACUACGUG
rnacentral:rRNA from 1 species